UGACAAUGUUCUGUUUGGGGGGAGGCCAGAGAGGCUGAAUGGAUGUUGUUGUGAUGGAGAUGUGAAAGAGGGCUAGUAUCUCCACAGCUGUCUUGAAUUUCUCUGAAGGGACAGUAGCCAAAGUGACCAUAAAGAUAUUAAUUUAUAACCUCUCAGAACUGACUGGCUGUUUAAACACUACAUAUGUUUGCAUUGGUUGGGUCUAGGGUCAGAGCAUUUAUUUUGUACUUUCCUCUCUCCCUCUGAAAUGUAAAUACAUUUCUUCACGUGAUGAGUGAUUUACUUCAAUCCACAAAGUUUACUGCACAUGUAUUUUCACCUUUGAUUAAUCUGUCACAGAUUGGAUGUGUCAUAAAAUAGCUAAAUCCCAGCUGGGUGGUCCCAGCAUGGAGCAUUUACGCAGUUCUUCAGAAACAGAUGCAGCUCUUAGCAGAGACUACAAUGAAGGAGACUACAGGGUAGCAAGCAAGGCACAACAGUCUCCUUUCUGCCUCACCCAGUCUUUCCUCAGUGCUUCCUGGCAGCUCUUCUUGCUUUGUGACUCGAGUAUGAAGAGCACCUCCUUACUCCAGGCUGAGGACCAUGGAGUCUUACAAACUGCCUGUUCACCAACUGUUAUGAAGAGGGACAUUUGA
rnacentral:lncRNA from 1 species